rnacentral:miRNA from 1 species
GGUGAUCUUUGUAUGGACAA